rnacentral:rRNA from 1 species
UUCCAGACUCCUACGGGAGGCAGCAGUAGGGAAUAUUGCUCAAUGGGGGAAACCCUGAAGCAGCAACGCCGCGUGGAGGAUGAAGGUUUUCGGAUUGUAAACUCCUUUUGUUAGAGAAGAUAAUGACGGUAUCUAACGAAUAAGCAUCGGCUAACUCCGUGCCAGCAGCCGCGGUAAUACGGAGGAUGCGAGCGUUAUCCGGAUUUAUUGGGUUUAAAGGGUGCGUAGGCGGACUGUUAAGUCAGCGGUAAAAGCCCGGGGCUCACCCCCGGCGAGCCGUUGAAACUGGCUGUCUUGAGAUGUCGAGAAGUAUGCGGAAUGCGUGGUGUAGCGGUGAAAUGCAUAGAUAUCACGCAGAACUCCGAUUGCGAAGGCAGCAUACCGGCGCCCGACUGACGCUGAGGCACGAAAGCGUGGGGAUCGAACAGGAUUAGAUACCCUCGUAGC